rnacentral:rRNA from 1 species
UACGUAGGGGGCGAGCGUUGUCCGGAAUCAUUGGGCGUAAAGCGCGUGUAGGCGGCUCGAUAAGUCCGGUGUGAAACCUUGGGGCUCAACCCCAAGCCUGCACUGGAUACUGCCGAGCUAGAGUCCGGGAGGGGAGAGCGGAAUUCCUAGUGUAGCGGUGAAAUGCGCAGAUAUUAGGAAGAACACCGGUGGCGAAGGCGGUUCUCUGGGCCUUACCUGACGCUGAGGAGCGAAAGCGUGGGGAGCGAACAGG